rnacentral:rRNA from 1 species
UGAGUAACGCGUGGGUAACCUGCCUCAUACAGGGGGAUAACAGUUAGAAAUGACUGCUAAUACCGCAUAAGCGCACAGUGCUGCAUGGCACAGUGUGAAAAACUCCGGUGGUAUGAGAUGGACCCGCGUCUGAUUAGCUAGUUGGUGGGGUAACGGCCUACCAAGGCGACGAUCAGUAGCCGGCCUGAGAGGGUGAACGGCCACAUUGGGACUGAGACACGGUCCAAACUCCUACGGGAGGCAGCAUG